rnacentral:rRNA from 1 species
UACGGGGGGGGCAAGCGUUGUUCGGAAUUACUGGGCGUAAAGGGUUCGUAGGUGGCUCGCUAAGUCAGACGUGAAAUCCCUCAGCUUAACUGGGGAACUGCGUCUGAGACUGGCGAGCUUGAGUGCAGGAGAGGAACGCGGAAUUCCAGGUGUAGCGGUGAAAUGCGUAGAUAUCUGGAGGAACACCGGUGGCGAAGGCGGCGUUCUGGACUGCAACUGACACUGAGGAACGAAAGCCAGGGUAGCAAAC